GUGCUUGUUUUGGCAGCACAUAUACCUACAGUUGGAAUACAGAGAUUGGCAUAGCCUCUGCACAAGGGUGACAUGCAUAUCUGUGAAGCAUUCUAUAUUAAA
ensembl:snRNA U6 U6 spliceosomal RNA